GAGCUUGAUCGUAAUUUUCUUGUUAUUUGACAAUGAAUGGUUGAUUUAGAAUAGAUGUGAAUAGUUUUAAUGUUUAAUCUGUGUGAUUGAGAAAAGAAUUCGAUAGUAGACAGUCUGAAAAAUCUUUAGCAAUCUGGAUAUUCCGAAGGGAAUACGUCAGAUUGCUUUAUUUGUGACAGUCUCUUAAAGCGAUGAAAAGUUUUUAAAGUUAUGCAAAACUAUGCGAUUUGACGAUCAGGAUUCUGUGGUAAAGUCAUUCUGAUGUGAUUCUUGAUGAGGAAGACAUUUAUAUUAUCGUAGAGAAAUUUGAUGGUUUCGAUAUCAUUGAAUGAAAUAAUUCUUAAUCGGUUCGAAUUUCAAUUCAAUUAAUACGUAUCGCAAUAUAUUUUGCUGAAUAUAAUUCUUUUUUUAAUAAUAAACGUGAUAAUAUAAUAUAUCGAAGAUAAUAAUAAUUCGAAGAAAAAGUAAUGCGUAAUAAGAUAAACGAUAUAUAUCGAUAAACGAUACUCUCGGAAACAACGAUAUAUAUAUCGAUACUUUUCAACUUUCUCUCGAACGAAUUGAAAAUCGAAUCGUUCUUAGUAGUCAUCAAUAUGGCCGCUAUUGAUUAACGGAAUUUUUGAUCGUCUCGUGUUUAGUGCGAUAACGAAAUAUAUAUUAUGCAAAUGUGUUUGUUGUGCUCCGUCAUCAAAUUCGGGAUUCUCUCGGAAGUGUGGGGCAGGCUCGGGCUACACAGUGCCGAUAGCAUUAUUAUAUUAUUCGGCUAAUGUUAUUGCUGUGUUAUGCGUCGGCCAAUUAAUAAUAUGGCGGCCAUGGACGAACGUUUCACACAGAGGCUUUCUCUUGCCUUCUCUUCGUGCAGUAUCAGGAUGGAAUCGACUUCGCGAUAAAAUUGAUUAACGCAACACCAGUAGUGGCCAACCACACUUUAUUGUUUUAAACAGAUCACGCGAGGUGUACGUACUACAUUGACACGGGUAAAUGGAAUAGAAACUGGUUCGAAUAAAGUUCUACUAAAAUGGCGGAUAGAGUCAAACUUCGAGAAUCACGAUAUUCGUUCGGUUAAAGUGCAAAAGACAAUGGAUGGAAAAUACGAUCGUGGAAUUGUUCGAAUUUGUUAAUUUUAGAAGAAUACGAAAGAAGGCGAAGAAUACGAAUCUUAAAAGAAUACCUGAAAAGAAUACGACUACGAAAGGGGAAUGUUGCAGGAGAGCAUCUUUUUUUGGGAUUUGAAAGGAUAGAUCGAUCAGAAAAUUGAAGAAAUUUGAGGAAAUAAUUCCUUUCCGAUACGAGAAUGAAGGAAUCAUUCUGUGGAAAUAUAUAUUUGCUUGGAUAUAGUGUUUUCUUGGAAACUCGAGAUUUUGAUUAAAAUUUAUCUUCAAUUUUCUUUCGGAGUGAAAAAAUCAAAACAGAACGAAAAGUACCCAAAUGGGAGUAUAAAAUUUAAUGGGCACAAUACGGGAAGAUUUGUAAUAAAACAGAUGACUAUAGAUUAAGGUAAUUAGCACUUACAAUUAUAUAAGCUCGAAGCGAGACGUGGGCCAUUAACUUUAAUUGCGAGUACUUUCCCUCGGACAUUCCCUUAUUCUCGCUUCUUAAUGCAUCGUGGUACUACACUACGCUUGGCAAUUUCGACUCCCCCGGUGUUUCUAUUAUUUAAAUAGUAUCCGAAAUGCGACUAAAUAUAAAUAUUUAUCUGAGAACCAGUUUCUGAGACACCCUGAAUCCCUAAUUUUAUGCUCGCAAUCGCGUUGAUAUUCCAGUAUUCGUUUAAUCAAUCUGAAAGAAAAGAAACUCUUUAUAAUCCGUUCAAGUAAAAUUUUCAACGAUGACAAAUCAAAUAAUUGUAUCAUAAUAAAUACGCAUAGAUAUUACUCAAAAAGCGACAUUAGAAACAAAAAUGAAAUAACUUUUUAUCCAUCAAGUUGUAUAAAUGAGAGGAAAGAAGAUAAUAAUAACAUAUUAAUAAUUAAAUCAGUUUGAAUAUGUACGAAAUUAAAAAUUCCUCGAUAAUCCAUAAAGCGACGAGUUUGGAAAAUCGUUUAUCGAGAAUCGAGAACAGCAGGAAGUCUGGAAAAUUUCACGGGAUCCCAAAAUGCACAGGUGUAAAUAUCAAUGGACGAUGUGCACACGCUUAAAACGGCGCGCUUUAAUUUCACGCGGUGGAACCUCGGCGGCGAAUGCAAUUACUCUUGCAAUCAAUUUAGAUAACUCGCAGUAGAGCCGGCGCGUAAUUGUUAAUGCGAUUAUCCGGCUCAGCUGGCAACUUGUGUAAGCUGGAAUAACGGUCAAGAAGAAACUGCUUGAAAGACAUCCCCCUCCUUCUUCUUUUUUUUCAUCGAGAAAUUCGUCUUCGUUUGUCGAUGUCUCGAAAAAAAAAAAAAAAAAGGAAAAGAGAAUUCUCGUUCGAGCUCGGACUUGAGACUUAUUAAUUUUCUUUUUUUAACCGAGAUAUUUUUAUUUUACACUUCUCAAAUGAAGAUAAUGGAACACAAUUUUGGAAUAAUUAAAAAACGAAGAAACUUCUCCGUUUUUGUGAGUACUCGUCGAUAAAUAAAUUUCCAAGAGGGAUUGACAAAGAAUGUGAAUGUGAAUGGGAAAAAAUUUUAAAAAAUAUUCGAAGAUGUAAGAUGGUACAUAGAGAGAAGUUUUUCUACAUUUAAUAAAGUUCUAAGUACUUGUAUCAAUUUUACAUUUGUAAGCGUGCACGGAUGCGUUCUCACAAUUUGAUUGGCAUAGAAUAUUCCGCACGUAUUCGUGAAACUGCCACUUUUCUUAGCCCACCGAUGCAUACGUGACGCGACGCCGUUUUUGUUUUUUGUUUUUCCAACAAAUGUAUUUCCACGUGUAUCCGAAAAUUUACAAGGGUAAUACCACGGAGCACGGAACUAUCCAUCCAACUUUGCGACCCACGAUUUAAUCCCUCGAAACUUGUACAGAGGUAUGGUGGUAGCAUGAAGAAUAUGGGAGAUUAUCGGAAUGAUACGCUAUGAAGUUGAAAAAAAUGGAAUUAAAAAUAUUGAUAAUGAUUAUCAAGUAAUAAUUUAUUACCAUCAUCUAUAAUAUAAUUUAAACUAUUUGAAAAUAAGCAAGAUAUAUAAAUACGAUAUUGGACAAGAAAUGGCCGUGUAUAUUUAGUUGUCAUUUUGAUUAAUUGAUGGAAGAUCAACGAUGCAACGGUUGUUUCCGAGAUAAUACAGAUUUUAUGCCGAUGAGAUAUUAUUAAUCGUGAAAUUAAUAACAGCCAUUUCUAUUAAGUGGAGGGGUCGGCUACGAUUAAUAUGUCUUUAAAUAAUGAAUAUCGAUAAGGCAGUAUCACCAGCAAAUUGCAAUUAAAAUUAAUUCGAACGAACGUCGGCCAACCAGGUCCAAACACUUAUUAUUUGGUUUAAUCGGUUGACAACGAUUUUAAUGAGUUUUUCACAUGACUCUUCCAAGGAUGCUCUUUUACCGAUUUUAAUAUCCGCCAUAGGCACGCAGGCGUUUAUGAGGGGCCGUUCAAUCCCUCCCCGUUUCGUUUGUCGUGGAAAAUUAUUAAACGGGCAUAAAUCGCCCGUUUAUUUCGAGAUACGUGUGUAUUAAAACGUGCGUUUAUAUAUUACGUUAAAAAUCAUUCGUUGGCUAUAACGAUGUUGCGCAUAUUAUAUUUAUUCAAUGUAAUAAUAAACGCAUUAUUAAUUUAGCUACGUUUUAAAAAUAUCUCGUAUCUCUUUGUAAAAGAUUAGUGGAAUUUUACGUUCAGAAGUGAGAAUUUAUGAGAAUCUAAUAUAGUAAUAAACAACCGGAGAAUAUAUUAAUAAAAACUGGAGUUUUACGUGAUGUAUGGUACGAAUACAACGAGACAGAUAAAUACGAGAUUUUCUUAACGAGUUA